rnacentral:rRNA from 2 species
UACGGAGGGUGCAAGCGUUGUUCGGAAUCAUUGGGCGUAAAGGGCGCGUAGGCGGGACGUUAAGUCCGAUGUGAAAUCCCUCGGCUCAACUGAGGACGUGCAUCGGAUACUGGCGACCUUGAGUCCUGGAGAGGGUAGCGGAAUUCCCAGUGUAGAGGUGAAAUUCGUAGAUAUUGGGAGGAACACCGGUGGCGAAGGCGGCUACCUGGACAGUGACUGACGCUGAGGCGCGAAAGCAUGGGUAGCAAACAGG